rnacentral:tRNA from 1 species
CGACUUAGCUCAGCUGGUAGAGCAACGCACUCGUAACGCGUAGGUCGGGGGUUCAAGUCCCUUAGUCGGC